AGCGAACGCUGGCGGCAGGCCUAACACAUGCAAGUCGAGCGCCCGGGCAACCGGGAGCGGCAGACGGGUGAGUAACACGUGGGAACAUGCCCUUCGGUUCGGAAUAACUCAGGGAAACUUGAGCUAAUACCGGAUACGUCCGUAAGGAGAAAGAUUUAUCGCCGAAGGAUUGGCCCGCGUCUGAUUAGCUAGUUGGUGGGGUAAUGGCCCACCAAGGCGACGAUCAGUAGCUGGUCNGAGAGGAUGAUCAGCCACACUGGGACUGAGACACGGCCCAGACUCCUACGGGAGGCAGCAGUGGGGAAUAUUGGACAAGUGGGCGAAAGCCUGAUCCAGCCAUGCCGCGUGAGUGAUGAAGGCCCUAGGGUUGUAAAGCUCUUUCGGCGGGGAAGAUAAUGACGGUACCCGCAGAAGAA
rnacentral:rRNA from 1 species